rnacentral:rRNA from 1 species
GAUGAACGCUGGCGGCGUGCCUAAUACAUGCAAGUCGAGCGAACGGACGAGAAGCUUGCUUCUCUGAUGUUAGCGGCGGACGGGUGAGUAACACGUGGAUAACCUACCUAUAAGACUGGGAUAACUUCGGGAAACCGGAGUUAAUACCGGAUAAUAUUUUGAACCGCAUGGUUCAAAAGUGAAAGACGGUCUUGCUGUCACUUAUAGAUGGAUCCGCGCUGCAUUAGCUAGUUGGUAAGGUAACGGCUUACCAAGGCAACGAUGCAUAGCCGACCUGAGAGGGUGAUCGGCCACACUGGAACUGAGACACGGUCCAGACUCCUACGGGAGGCAGCAGUAGGGAAUCUUCCGCAAUGGGCGAAAGCCUGACGGAGCAACGCCGCGUGAGUGAUGAAGGUCUUCGGAUCGUAAAACUCUGUUAUUAGGGAAGAACAUAUGUGUAAGUAACUGUGCACAUCUUGACGGUACCUAAUCAGAAAGCCACGGCUAACUACGUG